rnacentral:rRNA from 1 species
GAUGAACGCUGGCGGCGUGCCUAAUACAUGCAAGUCGAGCGAACGGACGAUAAGCUUGCUUCUCUGAUGUUAGCGGCGGACGGGUGAGUAACACGUGGAUAACCUACCUAUAAGACUGGGAUAACUUCGGGAAACCGGAGCUAAUCCCGGAUAAUAUUUUGAACCGCAUGGUUCAAAAGUGAAAGACGGUCUUGCUGUCACUUAUAGAUGGAUCCGCGCUGCAUUAGCUAGUUGGUAAGGUAACGGCUUACCAAGGCAACGAUGCAUAGCCGACCUGAGAGGGUGAUCGGCCACACUGGAACUGAGACACGGUCCAGACUCCUACGGGAGGCAGCAGUAGGGAAUCUUCCGCAAUGGGCGAAAGCCUGACGGAGCAACGCCGCGUGAGUGAUGAAGGUCUUCGGAUCGUAAAACUCUGUUAUUAGGGAAGAACAUAUGUGUAAGUAACUGUGCACAUCUUGACGGUACCUAAUCAGAAAGCCACGGCUAACUACGUG